rnacentral:rRNA from 1 species
UACGUAGGGGGCAAGCGUUAUCCGGAUUUACUGGGUGUAAAGGGAGCGUAGACGGCCAGGCAAGUCUGAAGUGAAAGCCCGGGGCUCAACCCCGGGACCGCUUUGGAAACUGUAUGGCUAGAGUGCGGGAGGGGUAGGCGGAAUUCCUAGUGUAGCGGUGAAAUGCGUAGAUAUUAGGAGGAACACCGGUGGCGAAGGCGGCCUACUGGACCGUAACUGACGUUGAGGCUCGAAGGCGUGGGGAGCAAACAGG